rnacentral:rRNA from 1 species
AUUGAACGCUGGCGGCAGGCCUAACACAUGCAAGUCGAGCGAGCGGCGGACGGGUGAGUAAUGUAUGGGGACUGCCCGAUAGAGGGGGAUAACUACUGGAAACGGUGGAUAAUACCGCAUACUAUCGGAUAACCCAUAUGUGAUUAGCUAGUAGGUGGGGUAAAGGCGUACCUAGGCGACGAUCGCUAGCUGGUCUGAGAGGAUGAUAGGCCACACUGGGACUAAGACACGGCCCAGACUCCUACGGAGGCAGCAGUGGGGAAUAGUGCACGAUGGGCGCAAGCCUGAUACAGCCAUGCCGCGUGUAUGAAGAAGGCCUUAGGGUUGUAAAGUACUUUCAGCGGGGAGGCGUUACCCACAGAAGAAGCACCGGCUAACUCCGUGCCAGCCGCCGCGGUAAUUC